rnacentral:lncRNA from 1 species
GACACCCGCGAUCAACAGCCGCAUUUGCUCGCUGCACUUUGCGGCGGGCUGCUACAGGGUGAAUCCUGUGUUGGCGAAGCAGUUGGGUCUGCCUGGCAAUACGAGGCCCCUUCUCGAGGCCGGUGCUAAAGAGAGAGGG